GCGGAUGCCCCAGCUGAAUCUACAGUUUUAUAAGAGCUAACUUGAAAAAACCACUUACAAUCCUAGAAAGGGUCAGGAGUCCGAUCCGGCUCCACUCAGCGUAAACUUCUUUUAUUUGUUCCGCUUUCUCGGCACUUGGGCCAGAGAGAUUGAAAGAAAGUGAGGGGCGUGGAGAGCGAAGACUGAAUAAAUGAUGGAGAGGAACGUAAGGGAAGGGGCGAAGUGCUGAACGUAAGGGAAGGGGCGAAGAGCUGAGCCAAAGGCGAACAGGUGAGGCAUUCAAAGUCAAAUAAUUUUUGAGAUUCUCGAGGAACUGGGCGAAAGAGGGAAGGAAUUUACGCAAAAGCAGCGUUGAACCGCUGACUCGGAACUAUUGAAACACUACCUUCCCUGGGGCUCUGAAAAAGAAGGAAAAAAUUAAUUCGAGGAAUUUUCCUCGGAUUCAUUGUCACCCUCUAUCCGUCUCUCUCAAGCCAUUUUCAAAGUCAGCUGAUCAGUCUUCUGUCAAGUAAGUUAGUCACUCGGAAUCCAUCGGCAAAUUCACAUUGCCGCAGAUGAGGAUCUUUCAGUCCGUGCUUUGUCCCUCGAGUCACGGACCGGGCAAGGCACGCAAUCUCAGACGUCAGAAUCUCUUCUUAUCUGAUAUUCGAAGCAAGGACAUGUUGAUCUGUCUUUAUCUACCAGAUAGCCUCAUCUUUCCCCCCUCCCCGGAUCCAUCAUCCUCGAAGAGGAGGAAAGAUGAGUCCAAAACUCUUAAUGAAGCCCAAAGGAAUUACACCACAACAGAAAAGGAGCUUUUAGCUAUUUGUCUUUGCCCUUUUUGAGUUUAGGUCUAACUUGUUAGGUACCAAAGUGAUUGUGUAUUCUGAUCAUGCAGCCAUUAAGUACCUACUUGCUAAGAAAGAGACCAAACCUAGACUUAUUAGGUGGAUGCUUUUAUUGCAAGAAUUCAACCUUGAGAUCAAAGACAAAAGUGGUGCACAAAACUUGGUGGCCGAUCAUCAACGUAGGCUCCAAGUGGAAAGUGAGUCCUCCCCCAUCAAUGACUCCUUUCCGGAUGAGCACUUGUUUGCUCUUUCCCACUUGGUGGGUGCACCCAUGAAGGAACAAAACAUGGCACCCGAAUGUGUUGAGGGUUUCUUUUUUGGUGCCAAAUCCUUCUAUGCUCCCUAGGUUAGUGGCUUUACUCCUUAGGACCCGAGAGCAUCACACUAGCUCCACCAAUUCUUGCAGAACCUCAUUCACUUUUAGCUUGCAAGGAAGUUGCAAGUUUGGUUCCCACUUUCCCUUGGUAUGUUGAUAUUGUCAAUUACUUAGUGAGUGGAAAGUUCCCUAGUGACCUAUGCCAUGCUAAGAAAAACUAAAUCAUUAAUGAUGCUAGGUACUACAUUUGGGGUGAACCAUACUUGUAUAAGCAUUGUAGUGACCAAGUGGUAAGAAGAUGCAUUCCGGAUCAUGAAAUUCAAUCUAUCCUAUCUUUUUGCCAUUCUUUAGAAUGUGGUGGUCACUUUGGACCAAAAAGGACAGCUAGGAAAGUCCUUGAAUGUGGCCAGAGAUGCAUUCUUGUUUUGCAAAGUAUGUGAUAGAUGUCAAAGAGUGGGCAAUCUUUCUCAAAGAAAUGAAAUGCCUCAAGUGUCCAUUCUUGUGUGUUCAGUCUUUGAUGUUUGGGGUAUUGAUUUCAUGGGCCCUUUUCCUUCAUCUUGCAACAAUGUUUACAUUAUCUUGGCUGUUGAUUAUCUUUCUAAAUGGGUGGAAGCUAAAGCCACCCGAAAUGAUGAUGCUAACACUGUUGUGAAUUUAUUGAAGGGUCUUUUUGCUAGGAAGGGUGUCCCCAAGGCAAUCAUUAGUGACAAAGGCACACACUUUUGCAACAAGGUCUUUGAUGCAUUAAUGAGGAAAUACCAUGUUCAUCAUAGAACCUCAACUCCAUACCAUCCACAAACUAGUGGACAAGCCGAGACCUCCAACAAAGAAAAGAAGUGAAGUCCAUCCUUGAAAAGGUGGUGAAUCCAAGAAGAAAUGGAGUCUCAAGUUGGAUGAUGCUCUUUGGGACUAUAGGACAGCCUACAAAACACCAAUAGGCAUGCCCCCAUAUAGGUAUGUUUAUGGGAAAGCUUGUCAUCUACCGGUGGAGUUGGAGCACAAGGUUUCUUUCAGAACCUUUGAAACAAACACUUUAUCCCACUUGCUUUCGGUAGGGGUUUUGUAUACAGAUUUUUCUGGGUGGAUGAUCGAGUUAGAUUCUUUAAUUCAUGGUUGUGCCACUACCCGGAAUGGACGAUGACCAGCGACUCUAUAUACGUCUCAACUCAUCGAGUGACCUGCUAACCUUCACAUAGUUUAAGAGGUGCCUACUCUUGAUGAUGGCGAGAGGAAAGAAGGAUCCUCCUGCUGGGAAUUAGAUCCUACUCUUUGUCUCUUCUUUUCUUUUUACAGAAAAUUC